CAGAGACACAACCCUUGUGUGACUGAGAUCACCUCCCAGUCCAUCCUUCUCAAAGCAACAGAAAGAAAAAAUGAUAUUGUGGCUCCAUUUUGUAUUCUUGUUUGUGCUCUUUAAAGAUGUCCAGUCACAGGUACGGUUGGAAGAGUCUGGAGGGGAUGUAAAGAGGCCUGGAGAGUCUGUCCGCCUCUCCUGCCAAGCCUCUGGGUUCACCUUCAGUAGCUAUUACAUGGCUUGGGUGAGGCAGGCUCAUGGGAAAGGACUGGAAUGGAUUGCAUAUAUAACCAAUACCGGGAGCUCACAGUAUUACGCUGACUCUGUGAAAGGACGCUUCACCAUCUCCAGGAACAAUCCCGCCAACAUGCUGUAUCUGCAAAUGAACAGCCUGAAAGCUGAGGACACUGCCAUGUAUUACUGUGCGAGACUGAAAUGGGACAGUACCAUAGCCUACUGUAACUAUUUUAAUAGUUGGUGGAAUAGUAUAGCAUGA